rnacentral:ncRNA from 1 species
AUAAAUUUUUAUGAUUUAUAAAAUUUAAUUUAAAUUUGUUUUACAUGUAAAUUUUAGUGUUAAUUUUUAAUUAUUUUAAUAAUAAUUAUUAAUAUUUGCAGUAAUUAGAAUUAAAAAUUUAAGAAAUUAAGAUUUAGGAAUAUUUUAAUUAUUAACAAAUUUUGUGCCAGCAGUUGCGGUUAUACAAAAAAUAAUUUAAAUUUUAUCGGUAUAUAAUAAAUAAUAAUUUUAUUUAAAUUAAAUAUUAAAUUAUUAAGUGAAAUUUUAAUUUAAUUAAAAUUUAUAUUAAUUUUAUGAUUUAUUAAAUUUUAUAAAAAACUAGGAUUAGAUACCCUAUUAUUAAAAAUUAAAUUUAUAAUACUAAAAUAGUAGAUAAUAAUUUAUUGAAACUUAAAUAAUUUGGCGGUAUUUUAGUUCAUUUAGAGGAAUCUGUUUAAUAAUUGAUAAUCCACGAAUAAAUUUACUUAAUUUAUUAUUUUGUAUAUCGUUGUUAAAAAAAUAUUUUUUAAUAAAAAUAAUAUUUAAAAAUUUUUAUAUAAAAUUAAUUCAGAUCAAGAUGCAGAUUAUAAUUAAGAAUAUAAUGGAUUACAAUAAAUAAAUUUAAAUGAAUAAUAUUUUUUAAUAAAUAUUUGAAGGUGGAUUUAAAUGUAAUUUUAAUUAAUUUAUUAAAAUGAUUAUAUAUUAAAAUAUGUACAUAUUGCCCGUCGCUUUCAUUAAUAAAUUGGAAUAAGUCGUAACAAAGUAGAGGUACUGGAAAGUGUUUCUAGAAAGAA